rnacentral:rRNA from 1 species
CAGCCGCCGCGGGAAAACGUAGGUGGCGAGCGUUGUCCGGAUUUAUUGGGCGUAAAGGGAGUGUAGGCGGUCUUUUAAGUCUGAUGUGAAAGCCCACGGCUCAACCGUGGAGGGUCAUUGGAAACUGGGAGACUUGAGUGCAGAAGAGGAGAGCGGAAUUCCAUGUGUAGCGGUGAAAUGCGUAGAUAUAUGGAGGAACACCAGUGGCGAAGGCGGCUCUCUGGUCUGCAACUGACGCUGAGGCUCGAAAGCGUGGGGAGCAAACAGGAUUAGAUACCCGAGUAGUCCCUGUCUCUUAUAC